rnacentral:rRNA from 1 species
CCGGCACGGGUGAGUAACACGUAUCCAACCUGCCGUCUACUCUUGGGCAGCCUUCUGAAAGGAAGAUUAAUACAAGAUGGCAUCAUGAGUCCGCAUGUUCACAUGAUUAAAGGUAUUCCGGUAGACGAUGGGGAUGCGUUCCAUUAGAUAGUAGGCGGGGUAACGGCCCACCUAGUCUUCGAUGGAUAGGGGUUCUGAGAGGAAGGUCCCCCACAUUGGAACUGAGACACGGUCCAA